rnacentral:rRNA from 1 species
UACAGAGGGUGCAAGCGUUAAUCGGAAUUACUGGGCGUAAAGCGCACGUAGGUGGGUUGGUAAGUUGCUGGUGAAAAGCCUGGGCUUAACCUGGGUCGGUCCUGCAAAACUACCAGCCUAGAGUGUAUUAGAGGGAAGUGGAAUUUCCGGUGUAGCAGUGAAAUGCGUAGAUAUCGGAAGGAACACCAGUGGCGAAGGCGACUUCCUGGAAUAUAACUGACACUGAGGUGCGACAGCGUGGGGAGCAAAC